rnacentral:tRNA from 1 species
UAUCUUCUGGACCCGGCUCGGUUUCAUCGCUGAUGGUGGUGUCGACGAACGCAUUAUCGAGGUUCAACGCUUCGAAGAUAG